GACAGAGGGUGCAAACGUUGUUCGGAAUUACUGGGCGUAAAGCGUGUGUAGGUGGCUGCGUAAGUCGGAUGUGAAAGCCCUGGGCUCAACUCAGGAAGUGCACUCGAUACUGCGUAGCUCGAGUACCGGAGAGGUUGGUAGAAUUCUCGGUGUAGAGGUGAAAUUCGUAGAUAUCGAGAGGAAUACCUGUGGCGAAGGCGGCCAACUGGACGAGUACUGACACUGAGACACGAAAGCGUGGGUAGCAAACAGG
rnacentral:rRNA from 1 species